UUCAUAUGGAUAUCCAGGGCUCAAGAACAGCCUCAAACGACUCAGAAGCACCUAGUUACACAAUGACAGAUAUCGCAUCAACAAAACAGACAUGACAUCUCCAGAAAAUAUGGAAGUUCAUAAAAAAAGAACUAAGUAAAUUUGAAAUGAAUUAAACAUAAUCCGAGACCACGCAUCAUAGUUAAUUUACUGAUAUGUAAUGCAUCUAAUUAGAAAAACAUCAUUGCCAUUACUGCAAAUGUGACAGUAUUUUCAUGUCGUAUGGCAGUUGAUUCACUUCAAAAAUAUACAAGCCGCAGCAUCAUAACAAGAGAGAGAGAGUUAAUAAUUGAUUUAAAGGAAACCUGAAAUACUUAAUAAUUUUUCCAGAAAGAGGCACAUAAAUGCCCAGGUGAAAUGUUGUUAAAAAUAAAAAAAAUCAAUUCACUUAGAGCAAUAGGUGCAAUUAAACAAAAACCAACAGUUUCAUCAAGCAGUAAAUGUAGCUGUCCUUUUAAGAUCAAAAUCCUAAAGAUGCUUGUUAAGCAUAUGCAUUGAACUAUGAUGACAAAACUCAUGAAAAUACAAAGAUAGGACAUGAACAUGGAAAGAACUAACUGCUGUAAUAUAUCAAUUGCAAAGUUAGAUGAUAAAGAACAAACAGGGUAAUCAGAAACUUCAAUAACAGACCUGAGCACCAGUGAGCUUAUUAUCCCAGCUAAGCACACCGUAGUAUGGCCCUCCCGAGAAAGCACCAGCAUGCUUGGCCA
rnacentral:misc_RNA from 1 species